UUGCUAUCUGCGAUAUGGAAGAUUCGAACCUACCGCAGGUUCUGGUCUCACGCAGUGAGACAACGGAGCCGCUUGCGGCGACGGCCCGAAGGGCGAGCGAAGCGAGUCAUCCUGCACGACCCACCA
rnacentral:sRNA from 1 species